rnacentral:rRNA from 1 species
GACGAACGCUGGCGGCGUGCCUAAUACAUGCAAGUCGAACUAGAGCGACCGGUGCUUGCACUGGUCAAUCUAGUGGCGAACGGGUGAGUAACACGUGGGUAACCUGCCCAUCAGAGGGGGAUAACAUUCGGAAACGGAUGCUAAAACCGCAUAGGUCUUCGAACCGCAUGGUUUGAAGAGGAAAAGAGGCGCAAGCUUCUGCUGAUGGUUGGACCCGCGGUGCAUUAGCUAGUUGGUAAGGUAACGGCUCACCAAGGCCGUGAUGCAUAGCCGACCUGAGAGGGUGAUCGGCCACAUUGGGACUGAGACACGGCCCAAACUCCUACGGGAGGCAGCAGUAGGGAAUCUUCCGCAAUGGACGAAAGUCUGACGGAGCAACGCCGCGUGAGUGAAGAAGGUUUUCGGAUCGUAAAACUCUGUUGUUAGAGAAGAAUAAGUGCUAGAGUAACUGUUAGCGCCUUGACGGUACCUAACCAGAAAGCCACGGCUAACUACGUG